CACUUUUAAAAUUGGUCAUAAAAUAACCGAUCUUAAAAGUACUUUUAAGAUCGGUUAUUUUAUGACCGAUCUUAAAAGUU
rnacentral:miRNA from 1 species